AGCGAACGCUGGCGGCAGGCUUAACACAUGCAAGUCGAGCGGACCUUUCGGGGUCAGCGGCGGACGGGUGAGUAACGCGUGGGAACGUGCCUUCCGGUUCGGAAUAAUCCAGGGAAACUAGGGCUAAUACCGGAUACGCCCUUAUGGGGAAAGGUUUACUGCCGGAAGAUCGGCCCGGGUCUGAUUAGCUAGUUGGUGGGGGAACGGCCGACCAAGGCGACGAUCAGUAGCUGGUCUGGGAGGCUGGUCAGCCACACUGGGACUGCGACACGGCCCAGACUCCUACGCGAAGGAGCAGUGGGGAAUAUUAGACAAUGGGCGCAAGCCUGAUCCAGCCAUGCCGGGUAAGUGAUGAAGGCCGUAGGGUUGUAAAGCUCUUUUAUCCGGGACGAUAAUGACGGUACCGGAGGAAUAAGCCCCGGCUAACUUCGUG
rnacentral:rRNA from 1 species